rnacentral:rRNA from 1 species
UACCAGCCCCCCGAGUGGUCGGGACGAUUAUUGGGCCUAAAGCAUCCGUAGCCGGUCCUACAAGUCUUCCGUUAAAUCCACCUGCUUAACAGAUGGGCUGCGGAAGAUACUAUAGGGCUAGGAGGCGGGAGAGGCAAGCGGUACUCAGUGGGUAGGGGUAAAAUCCUCUGAUCCAUUGAAGACCACCAGUGGCGAAGGCGGCUUGCCAGAACGCGCUCGACGGUGAGGGAUGAAAGCUGGGGGAGCAAACCGG